GACGAACGCUGGCGGUGUGCUUCACACAUGCAAGUCGAACGAGGUAGCAAUACCUAGUGGCGGACGGGUGAGUAACGCGUGGGAAUCUGCCUUUAGAUGGGGGAUAACGGGUCGAAAGACUCGCUAAUACCGCAUAUGACGAAAGUUGAAAGGAGUAAUCCGUCUAAAGAUGAGCCCGCGUCCGAUUAGCUAGUUGGUAGAGUAAAAGCCUACCAAGGCGACGAUCGGUAGCUGGCUGAGAGGAUGAUCCAGCCACAAUGGGACUAGAGACACGGCCCAUACUCCUACGGAGGCAGCAGUGGGAAUUUUACGCAAUGGGCGAAAGCCUGACGUAGCGACACCGCGUGAGCGAAGAA
rnacentral:rRNA from 1 species